UUGUAGAUGACCAGUGUAUAUCUCUACUUGAGGAAUUCUCCAAAGAUCCAGAGCCGAUUGUUUCAUAGAGCUGUGAAGUGGCUCUAAACAUACUGGAUUUUGAACGAUCCGGCAAACCAUUCGAGUACAUCUUUAUGUAGGCACCUCAAUUGCAGGAGGCAGCAUGAUGGUUUCACUUUGUUGUGUGUUUUGUUACCAUUGAGUACUAAAUGGCAUACAUUUGGAUAGAGUUUUGAAUGAUUUACUCAACAUUAUUAUUUGAAUGGUU